rnacentral:rRNA from 1 species
UCGAACGAUGAAACCGCCCUCGGGCGGACAUGAAGUGGCGAACGGGUGAGUAACACGUGACCAACCUGCCCCUUGCUCCGGGACAACCUUGGGAAACCGAGGCUAACACCGGAUACUCCUCGCCCCCCUCCCUGGGGGGCCCGGGAAAGCCCAGACGGCAAGGGAUGGGGUCGCGGCCCAUUAGGUAGUAGGCGGGGUAACGGCCCACCUAGCCCGCGAUGGGUAGCCGGGUUGAGAGACCGACCGGCCACAUUGGGACUGAGAUACGGCCCAGACUCCUACGGGAGGCAGCAUG